rnacentral:rRNA from 1 species
GUCUACGGCCAUACCACGUUGAAAGCACCAGUUCUCGUCCGAUCACUGAAGUUAAGCAACGUCGGGCUCGGUUAGUACUUGGAUGGGUGACCGCCUGGGAACACCGAGUGCUGUAGACUUCU